AAAAAGGAUGUCCACCGCUUGCAUGGUGUUUGGGUCACUGGUUCUCGGGGUAUGGCCAUUAAUACAUAUUCGACACAUAAUUUUAGAAACCGCGGGCUGUUGGUCACCAAUACGUGCCGGCGUCUGC